rnacentral:ribozyme from 12 species
CAUAUAUACAAAAAAAUGGAAAUUCUAGGUCAUUUCAGUACAUGAUACCUUUUGUGACUCAAGAUCUUCCACAUAUAUCAUCUGAUCCCUCUGUUUUUUUUUUUUUUUUUUUUUUUUUUUUUUGACAAAUGCUGUA